rnacentral:rRNA from 1 species
UACGUAGGGCGCAAGCGUUGUCCGGAAUUAUUGGGCGUAAAGAGCUCGUAGGUGGCUUGUCGCGUCUGUCGUGAAAGCCCGGGGCUUAACUCCGGGUCUGCGGUGGAUACGGGCAGGCUAGAGGCAGGUAGGGGAGAAUGGAAUUCCCGGUGUAGCGGUGAAAUGCGCAGAUAUCGGGAGGAACACCGGUGGCGAAGGCGGUUCUCUGGGCCUGUACUGACGCUGAUGCGCGAAAGCGUGGGGAGCAAACGGG